UUGUGAAUUUUUGAGAUAGAUGUAGUAGCAACCCGAGAAACAUGAUGAAUGUUCUAAUGUAAGCAGACAAUUGUACAUGGCUGUAAAUAAAGCUUCUGUGUGAUAAAAAUGAAAAGGAAUUCCAAGCAUUUCUGUAGAUAGUCAUCAAGAAAGCUGCGGCAGACCACACAAAGAUAAGGAAACCAUGUGUAUGGUUCCCGCAAGUCACAGUUUCCAAGCCUUUUACGAUGUGUCAUACAACAUGUUUGUGACAUCGCAGAUGCAGUGAUUUGUUCCAGUUGACAGUGCAAAAGACAUAACUUCACGACUAGUGUCAGGAGAUUUUAGCAUUCUGCACUGUGUCUGUCAUCAAAACCUCUUGAUUUCAGGAGGGCUGGCGAACCAAUCAUUUUGUUUUUCCUCUGAUAUCAUUCCAGAUAUAACGAGUCAGAGGAUGUAAAAUACAACAGAAAAAUGAAGGAGACGUGGCAAAAUCAGUCUGAAGGUUUUUUUCAUUGGAACAGGACCUCAGAAGGCUUCUGCACUUUCAACUUGAAAGACCUAGACUACUCCUGAACUCUCAAAUAGAGAGACCUACAAUGCCUUUGAACUCUCGACUAGAUAGACCCUCUGGCUAGCAGGCUUCUCAUGGCAUGAGGAGACUAUUAUUUCAUUACAAUUAUCAUUUUAUGCUAUCCAUGAAUUAUGUAUGUAUUUAAAGAACUUCUUGUAAUUGUAAUAAAUGUGUCUUGAGUUCAAUAA